GCACAAUGGGCGCAAGCCUGAUGCAGCCAUGCCGCGUGUAUGAAGAAGGCCUUCGGGUUGUAAAGUACUUUCAGCAGUGAGGAAGGUGGAUAUGUUAAUAGCAUAUUCAUUUGACGUUAGCUGCAGAAGAAGCACCGGCUAACUCCGUGCCAGCAGCCGCGGUAAUACGGAGGGUGCGAGCGUUAAUCGGAAUUACUGGGACGUAAAGCGCAUGCAGGUGGUUUGUUAAGUCAGAUGUGAAAGCCCGGGGCUCAACCUCGGAAUUGCAUUUAGAAACUGGACAAACUAGAGUACUGUAGAGGGGGUAGAAUUUCAGGUGUAGCGGUGAAAUGCGUAGAGAUCUGAAGGAAUACCGGUGGCGAAGGCGGCCCCCUGGACAGAUACUGACACUCAGAUGCGAAAGCGUGGGGAGCAAACAGGAUUAGAUACCCUGGUAG
rnacentral:rRNA from 1 species